UCCGGCUUGUCACCGGCAGUUUCUCCAGAGUGCCCGACACUACUCGCUGGCAACUGAAGAUGGGGGUUGCGCUCGUUGCGGGACUUAACCCAACAUCUCACGACACGAGCUGACGACAGCCAUGCAGCACCUGUGUUCCGGCCAGCCGAACUGAAGGACCGCGUCUCCACGGACCACACCGGACAUGUCAAGGGCUGGUAAGGUUCUUCGCGUUGCGUCGAAUUAAACCACAUGCUCCACCGCUUGUGCGGGCCCCCGUCAAUUCCUUUGAGUUUCAGUCUUGCGACCGUACUCCCCAGGCGGCGAACUUAACGCGUUAGCUUCGACACUGAUCUCCGAGUUGAGACCAACGUCCAGUUCGCAUCGUUUAGGGCGUGGACUAC
rnacentral:misc_RNA from 1 species